UACGUAGGGACCGAGCGUUGUCCGGAAUCAUUGGGCGUAAAGAGCGUGUAGGCGGCCACUUAAGUCCUGCGUGAAAUCUUGCGGCUCAACCGCAAGCGGUCGUGGGAAACUGGGUGGCUAGAGUGCGGGAGAGGAGAGUGGAAUUCCUGGUGUAGCGGUGGAAUGCGCAGAUAUCAGGAAGAACACCAGUGGCGAAGGCGACUCACUGGACACAUAUUGACGCUGAGGUGCGAAAGCGUGGGGAGCAAACAGG
rnacentral:rRNA from 1 species